CAACAGCACCAAAUGGCAACGGCUUUUCUCCCAGCAGUGCAGGCAGGGAGAGCCAGGGAGCAGGAGCUAGUGGUCCCACAGCUGGAGCACAAAGACAGCCUGGGCCCCUGACCUGUGGCCGAGGCUAUGACAAGUGGCUAACAGCAUCUCGACAUCCCUUUGGACCUGGGACCUAGAGCUGCCCUUGACUAGCCAGUCGUUGAGGUACGGGUAGAUCUGGACACCCCGAUGUUUGAGGGCUUGCCCUUUGAAGGGAAGGACUUACAUCAACUGCUGAGCCACCAUGGACAAGCCAGAGAGGAGUAACCAGGAUACCUGGCGCAUGGCAAUAGCCAAGGCCAUGGUUUGGGUGGCAGUGUCCGCCGCAUCUGACACCGCCUGGAGCGUCGCCCUGGCCGCAAUCGUGCCCUCCUCCAUAAUAGCCCAGAACUCCUUCCUAGAAGCCUCAGGAAGAGAGCUCUCGAACUUGCCAUCGCUUGCCACAUGUUAAAGUCAGAGUGUUCCAGGAGGGAUUGAUGGUAGGCCACCCUCAACUGGAGAUUAGAGGACGAAUA